GACGAACGCUGGCGGCGUGCCUAACACAUGCAAGUCGCACGAGUCCACCUCGCAAGGGGUGAGGCGAGUGGCGGACGGGUGAGUAACACGUGAGCAAUCUGUCCCGUUGCGGGGGACAACCCGGGGAAACUCGGGCUAAUACCGCAUGGUCGGCCGGAACGCAAGUUUUGGCCGGGAAAGGUGGCCUCUUUACAAUGCUACCGUGCCGGGAGGAGCUCGCGGGCUAUCAGCUAGUUGGNGCGGUAACGGCGCACCAAGGCAACGACGGCUACGGGGUCUGAGAGGACGACCCCGCACAUUGGAACUGAGACACGGUCCAGACUCCUACGGGAGGCAGCAGUGGGGAAUUUUGGGCAAUGGCCGAAAGGCUGACCCAGCGACGCCGCGUGCGGGAGGAAGCCCUUCGGGGU
rnacentral:rRNA from 1 species